CGGGAUGUGGCGCAGUUCGGUUAGCGCGUUCGUCUGGGGGGCGAAAGGUCGGAGGUUCAAAUCCUCUCAUCCCGACCA
rnacentral:tRNA from 1 species